AUUUGGUUAAAGGUUUCAUGGUGCAGCAUUACAAACUUAGAAGGAAUGCUUUCAAUGCAGAACCAGUACAUAUGGAAGAAUGACAGCAGCUGUCCUAGAGCCAGAAGAAGUAAAGUGCGGUGCCCAAUAUGAUCCUCUGACACAGAAUGGUCUAGCGGUUAAGAGCCUCAGCGUCAACCAGAUGGAUCUUUUCUUAAUUGCAUGA
rnacentral:lncRNA from 1 species